UCCCUGGUAGCUCAGAGGUUAAAGCGUCUGCCUCCAAUGCAGAAGACCCGUGUUCGAUCCCUGGGUUGGGAA
rfam:Ovis aries breed Texel chromosome 2, whole genome shotgun sequence.